UUUUGCUGAGGAAACUCUUUCAGUGUCCACAGAAAUAUUUUAUGAACCUGUUAGCAAAGUUUUAUUGAGAGAAACCACAAUUUGAGUGCAACAGUUGGAUUAAGCGUGGGUCAAUUUGUCAUACUUGCACCCCACUGUGCAGGCAUGACCAAUCGAAAUACACUUAAUUCAACUGUUACACAAGUAAUGUGUUUUGUUAGCAUUUUUGUUAGUUUUAAUUUGUUAAACAGCAGCCCCCGGCAUGCUGAUGGUUAGGUACCCAUGGCUUCACCCAUUCACAGAAUUUAUUUCCCGUGUUUUCUUUUUGGAGUGGUAACAAUUCCCCAAAACACUUGUUUUCAGUUUAUCCCUGCUUAUUAAAGAAUUUGGGGGGUUUAAAUCCCCCCCAAUUCAAUUCUAAUGGCCAUCAUUUAUCCAAGGAUUUUCGCUAUUUGCGGUCUGGCCCCGGUCCCUAUCCCCAGUGAAUAGCGAGGGUUAAUUGUACAUAUUUGAUACUACUUUAUUGUCACGUGUAUACAAUUAGUCAAGGAGUGAGAGGCACUUUACCAUUUGAAAGUGUGUCUUGUGUUUAAAUAAAGAAUCACUUGAAGUAAGUCACACUAUUGAAAAUGCAGUUUUUGCCCCACAAACAGAGGUAUGGACCGUACUGUGGGUUACCUGUCCCGUCCCACCCCACUUGGAUACCGCUAACCUGAUGGCUGGGCGUCAUGAGGAAAAGCAUGCGUCUGAGCAGCAGGCCCAGGUGGAAGUCUCCCUCACCGCGCCGUGAAGCACCACACGUCUGCGGCCAACAGUGCAGUCUGUGUGUCAGCCUGCAGCGUGGCCUCCACCAAGCACAGCUCCUGCCAGAAAGAAAAAAAGAACAAUAUUUUUUCAAAAAAGGGUGGCUUUGGAGUGAAAACAGAAGUAGAAAAUGUUAUCAAGAAAUGAAACGAAAGCAUUAAAAAAUUAAAGUGCAAGUGUCGCUUGUAUUGAAUGAGAGGAAAUCCCUCGGCAAACACGGGCGAGAGCCCAAAAGUGAUUAAGAGUCUGGAUAAAAUAAACUCCAGAUUUCACAGCAAACUGACGAAGUGAAAUGUUAUACAAUGUUUACAAAGUAGAGUUAUUUAUGUGUAGAACUCACCAGAACAGGGAAGUAUUGUGGAGGAAGCACAGCUACGCUGGCGCAGAGGUGCACACACACGUGAUGGUGCAGAGACACCUGACCUUGGGCCUGUCCUUUGAUCAUCACCCCUGGCAACAACACCGGCAGCUUCCGCUCAGCAUAACAAUGGCGAAAGCUACGGAGCACUGCCCGGUAGAGAGGAAGCCUGGAGACAGAGGUCCUAAUAGUUUAAUGAGACUUUUUUUUUUUUUUUUUUUUUUACAUAACACCCUGUGCAAUAUACAGCUUGAAUAAUCAUCAUUUUACAAAGGUAAUAUAACAUAUUGCCCAGUCACCAGUUUAAAACUGCCCGCAAAGAGAAAUAAACUGCACGAAGCAACUUUACCUGGGUGUUUCCUCUGAAAACUGACUCCCAGAUUGCCAAAGCUGCAGCACCUCCUCAGGCUGGGAGGCCAACUGCUCCAGCACAUUAGCCAGCAAAAGACACUGAGGAAGCUCAUGCUGCGGACUCAAUCCUGUGUAUAACAGCAAAUAUUUUCAUAAAUGUAAACAAUAAAUAUGCUGUGGUGCACUGUA